rnacentral:rRNA from 1 species
GCUCAGAACGAACGCUAGCGGCGCGUUUCAGGCAUGCAAGUCGAACGGUAACAGGGGAGUUCGCUCCCGCUGACGAGUGGCGCACGGGUGAGUAACGCGUAGGUAAGCUACCCUAAGGUUUGGGAUAGCCUUACGAAAGUAAGAUUAAUACCGUAUAUGGUGGUAACUACACAAGUAGUAAUCAUUAAAGCUCCGGCUCCUUAGGAUGUGCCUGCGUUGGAUUAGUUAGUUGGUGAGGUAACGGCUCACCAAGACUCCGAUCCAUAGCCGAGCUAAGAGGCUGAUCGGCCACAUUGGAACUGAGACACGGUCCAGACUCCUACGGGAGGCAGCAGCUAAGAAUCUUCCGCAAUGGUCGCAAGACUGACGGAGCGACGCCGCGUGAACGAUGAAGGCCUUACAGGUUGUAAAGUUCUUUUAUAGAGGAUGAAUGUAUGACGUAGGUCAUAUUGACAGUACUCUUUGAAUAAGGUCCGGCUAACUACGUGCCAGCAGCCGCGGUAAUACGUAGGGACCAAGCGUUGUUCGGAAUUACUGGGCGUAAAGGGUACGCAGGCGGUUUGAUAAGUCAGAUGUGAAAUCCCUUGGCUUAACCUUGGGGCUGCGUCUGAUACUGUCGGACUAGAGUUACUGAGAGGAAGGCGGAAUUCCUGGUGUAGGGGUGAAAUCUAUAGAUAUCAGGAAGAACACCUAUUGCGAAGGCUGCCUUCUGGCAGUUAACUGACGCUGAGGUACGAAAGGUAGGGUAGCAAACAGGAUUAGAGACCCUGGUAGUCCUACCUGUAAACGUUGUAUACUAGGUGGUGGAAGCAUUGACCUUUCACUGCCGGAGCUAACGCAUUAGGUAUACCGCCUGGGGAGUAUGCCGGCAACGGUGAAACUCAAAGGAAUUGACGGGGGCCCGCACAAGCAGUGGAGCAUGUUGUUUAAUUCGACGAUACGCGAGAAACCUUACCAAGUCUUGACAUAUACUUGACGCACAUAGAAAUAUGUGUUCCCUUCGGGGCAGGUAUACAGGUGCUGCAUGGUUGUCGUCAGCUCGUGCCGUGAGGUGUUGGGUUAAGUCCCGCAACGAGCGCAACCCCUAUUCUUUGUUGCUAACAGGUCAAGCUGAGCACUCGAAGGAAACUGCCAGUGACAAACUGGAGGAAGGUGGGGAUGAGGUCAAAUCAUCACGGCCCUUAUGACUUGGGCUACAAACGUGCUACAAUGGGUGGUACAGUGAGUCGCUAAACCGCGAGGUGGAGCUAAUCUCAAAAAACCAUCCUCAGUUCGGAUUGGAGUCUGAAACCCGACUCCAUGAAGCUGGAAUUGCUAGUAAUCGCUCAUCAGAAUGGAGCGGUGAUACGUUCCCGGGCCUUGUACACACCGCCCGUCACAUCAUCCGAGUUAAUUAUACCCNGAAGUAUCCGAGCUAACCCUCGUGGAGGCAGGGUCCGAAGGUAUGGUCGGCAAGGAGGAUGAAG